rnacentral:misc_RNA from 1 species
UGGUUCUGGCAUCGAUGAAGAACGCAGCGAAAUGCGAUAAGUAAUGUGAAUUGCAGAAUUCAGUGAAUCAUCGAAUCUUUGAACGCACAUUGCGCCCUUUGGCAUUCCGAGGGGCAUGCCCGUUCGAGCGUCAUUAAAUCCACUCAAGCCUGGCUUGGUAUUGGGCGUCGGGGACUCCCCGCGCCUCGAUUUCGCCGGCUGGCCGUCGUUUGACUUAGCGUUGUGACACAUGUCGCUAACGACGAAGACGGACCACGCCGUUAAACCCCCUUGAAUGCCGACAGGCGUUCAGUAAAGGUUGACCUCGGAUCGGGUAGGAAUACCCGCUGA